AUCAAAUUCUCAAGCAAACAGUUGGCUGGGGAUAUUCAGUAGCAACGGUGAGGAGAGAGAGGAACAAUUCACAUUUCAAGGGACCCUUCCUCAAAACGGUCUGUUCUGAAGGAGCUUUCCCGCAGAAAUCAUUGGAUUGAAAGCUUCUGGCAACAAAUGGCCACAAACCGAUCAAAGGUGAAAGUGACGGUGAACCAGACCGAGCAGUCAGUGGCUGCAUAAAGCAGGACGGCGUGGACAUUACACACGGGGACGGAGUCCAUCAGGAAAUAAAACUGUUCCUGAUAAACAAUGGGAAUGUGUCUCAGGAUCAGGUCGAGGAUAAUGACCAGGAGAUCCGCCGCUGCCAUGGCCCCCAGGGACAUAUAAACAUAUCUUCAAAUCGUCCGAGACCAUUUUCUGCUCAGGGUAUGGCUCCGUGUAUGACAGCAGCAAUGAUGCACCAACAUGGAACAGGGAAUGUGAUGGAAACAUAGUUUGGACAAUGUACAAGGAGACCUCACAUGGUCCAGUUUGGGAGAGAAUGACAUUAUUGUGUGAUUCAACUCAGAGAGGGAGAAAAUGUCAUCUGCAGAGAAGAAACGGCCUAUUGCACUCUCUCCCCUGCAUUAUUCCUCAUCACAGUAACGUGUACGAGCUAAAACAAGACUCUCCUGUUAUUGUUACCAUUCUUAUUUUUAUCGAAUCCCUGCAGUGUGGAAACAAGCCCUUCGGCCCAACAAGUCCAUACUAACCUUUCAAAGACUAACCUUCCCAUGCCCUUGCAGUUACCCCUGACUAGUGCACCUAAAGUAGAAAUCGCUGAACACUAUGGACUAUUUGACCAAUCCACUUGAAUUAUACAGCUUUGAGCUGUGGGAGGAAACAGGAGCACCCAUCAGAAGCUCACGCAGACAAGGGGAGAAGACGCAAAUAUUGGGACCAUAGGGAGUAAGUUUGCAGAUGACAUCAGAAAAGUGGUGUUGCAGAUUAUCUCAGAGUACAACAAGAUCACAAAUAGAUGGAACAAAGGGGCAAGGUGUGACAGAUGAAGUUUAAUUUAGAUAAAUACGAGGUUACGCAUUUUGGGAAGGCAAAUCAGGGCAGAAAUUAUACACUUAAUGGUAAGGGCCUGGUGAGUGUUGUGAGACAAAGGGACACAGAACUGCAGGUACAUUGUUCUUGAAAGUGGAGUCGAAUGCAGGCAGUGCGGUACAGAACACAUUUUACAAAUUUGCCUUAAUCAGUCAGAGCAUUGAGUAUAGGAGUUGUGGUGGCAUGCUGUAUCUGUACAGGAUGUUGGUGAGACCACUUUAAGAAUACUGCGUACAUCUUGGUUUUCUGCAGAAAGGAUUUACACGGAUGUCCCAGGACUGGAGGUUUGAGCUUUAGCGAGAGGUUGAUUAGUUUGAGGUGUUUCUCCCUGGAGUGUCAGAGGCUGAAGGGUGACAUUAUAGAGGUUUAUAAAAUCAUCAGGGGCAUGGAUAUUCUGAACAGGCAUGUUCUGCUCCCCAGGGUAGGGGAGUCCAGAACAGGAGAGCACAGGUUGGAGGGGAGAGGGCGAAUGAUUUAGAAGGGACCUGAAGAUAAAUGUUUCACACAGAGAGUGGUGUGUGUACAUAAAGUGCUGUCAGAGGAAGUGCUGAAGGCGGUUACAAUUGCACAUUUAAAAAGUAUCUGAAAGACGAGGGAUAUUGGCCCAAUGCUGGCAAAUGGGACUGGAUCAGAUUUGAAAUCUGAUCGGAGUGAACAGAUUGGACUAACGGGUCUGUUUCUGUUCUGUAUGACUCUCUGAUUCUGUAAGAGGGAUGACGAAAAAUUCUGAAAGUACCGUUCAAAUCCGAAUCCUCUUCACUGGAAGUUUAUCAUGCCUCUAUGUUCACAUUGAUUGAAAGUUGCGUUAGUGAAGUAUUUGACUGGGAACUGAGUCAUGGAUAAUGGGACACAGACAGGAAAGUGGGGCUGAGACCCCAACCUGAUCAGCCACAAUCUUAGUGCCUGGUGGAGAAGGUUCAACGUAUCUAAUGACUCACUCCUGUCCCUCAAUCCCGUGUUCCUGUGUUCCAUUCAGACCAUUAAACCUGUUAGGCAGGAGCAUUUAGAGACUACUUACUUCUAUAACCUGUUGCACAGAAACAGAGGAGAUCAUUCAGCCCUUCAAGACUGUCCCACACCCGUUGAGGUGAUUUGGGAAAUGUAAUUGUAAAACCCAGGCUGGGUAUGAAAGAGGCCCCUCAUCUCUCUUUACAGAGCUUCCCCUCUCUGCAACUUGUGCUCCAUUUGUUGGUCAUAUUGUAGACCCAAAUUCAUUAUGAAUACAGCUCCCAUACCUCACCCAGAGAUGGCUCACAAAAUCCUCUGGUCUCCCUGACGGCAACAUUCAAUAACAGAACAUUCAUGAAAAUAACACCCACUAACUUUCCAAUAACAGAAUGUGAGAAUAUCAGAGACAGGGGCAGGUCAUUCACUCUCCAAACCUGCCUUGCCCUUCACUAAGAUCAUGGCUGAUCUGCUCUUGGUCUCAAAUCCUCUUUCAUACCCAAUUCUUCAUCGCCCUCAAUUCUCUGACAGGACACAUGGGUUCAGGUAAAAAUGACUGGCCCUGAUAUCAAGGCUUCUGUUGACUUCUGUUGACAUCAAGGAGCUUAACAAAUCUGAACUUAAUGGGAAUCAGAGAAAACUCUCCAGUGUUUGGAUUCAAACACGGCACAAAGGAAGAUGUUCAUCAUCUCAGUCCUGGGUCAGUUCUGUGGGAGAUCCUCAGGGUAGCUUCCUCUUCACAAACAUCUUCAGCUGCUUCAUCAAUGUCUCCCCACCCUCACCCUCCCCACCAUAAGAUCCGAAGUGGGGAUGGUCACUGAGGAUACCACAAUGUUCAGAAUAAUUUGAUGCCCCCGUCAGCUUCUGAACAGGACUGUGUCCAUGUGCAGCAAGACAUGGACUCCAUUGAGGCUUGUGCUUUUAAAGAGUCCGUAACAUUCAUAUAAAGGACUGUCUGACACUGCACAUUGCCACAGUAAAAUAAGAGUCCAUUCUGCACCUCACACUGGGUUCACAGGAAUAUGAGGAAGUCGUUCAGCCCAUUGACACUAUUGGAGAAGAACAGGCACAGCCCAUUCAGUGCCUCCAACAUAUUACUCAGGAGGAGAAGGAUUCUAGUGUGAUGGGCCACACCAGAGCCCCUCGACAAUAUUUGAAGGCGGUAGCCGAGACUCUAAUGUUUUCUUAUUUUAAAGAAAAUGUAAAGUGCCUGUUCCAGAUGCAAUGUGACUGGUCAAACAACUCGGUAUGACGCAUAACACCAUUUACUUAAACACGAUAGAUUAAAACAAAAACAAAAAAAAAGGUGGAAUUUAGAAUAACGUAAUUAUAUUGGACAAGUUAACAGAAUAAUAGAUCUCGGAACCAAUACUAAUGAACUGUUCCAAUACUGGAAAAUCACAUGAACACAGCCCUUGGAAAAAAGGAAUAUUCAGACACUGAAUGACACAAAUAUUUCUACAAUUUAGGAUUUAGAAACAGCACCAAGAGAAAAUCCAUAGAGAGUAGCUGCCAGGAGACAUUCACUAAAACUUUCAACUCGGUGGAGACCCCAGUAACUUCUGAUGUUACUGAGAAACCACAAUGCAGAAAUCCCAAUCUGUGAGAGCUGACCACACCCAUUCCAUCUGCAUUAAAAUAAACCCAAGGCCUCACUAGUUGUUUAUUCAAGUGGUCCUAACUAGCCAGCUUGGUAACGGUCAUUCAAUCUCUCUCUUAAAAUAAACCAGAACAAAAUAACCUCUUAAAGUUACAGCAUCAUCACACUAGUCAGCAUAUCGAGC